GNCGCCCUAACACAUGCAAGUCGAGCGGAUGAGAAGAGCUUGCUCUUCGAUUCAGCGGCGGACGGGUGAGUAAUGCCUAGGAAUCUGCCUGGUAGUGGGGGACAACGUUUCGAAAGGAACGCUAAUACCGCAUACGUCCUACGGGAGAAAGCAGGGGACCUUCGGGCCUUGCGCUAUCAGAUGAGCCUAGGUCGGAUUAGCUAGUUGGUGGGGUAAUGGCUCACCAAGGCGACGAUCCGUAACUGGUCUGAGAGGAUGAUCAGUCACACUGGAACUGAGACACGGUCCAGACUCCUACGGGAGGCAGCAGUGGGGAAUAUUGGACAAUGGGCGAAAGCCUGAUCCAGCCAUGCCGCGUGUGUGAAGAAGGUCUUCGGAUUGUAAAGCACUUUAAGUUGGGAGGAAGGGCAGUAAGCGAAUACCUUGCUGUUUUGACGUUACCGACAGAAUAAGCACCGGCUAACUCUGUGCCAGCAGCCGCGGUAAUACAGAGGGUGCAAGCGUUAAUCGGAAUUACUGGGCGUAAAGCGCGCGUAGGUGGUUUGUUAAGUUGAAUGUGAAAGCCCCGGGCUCAACCUGGGAACUGCAUCCAAAACUGGCAAGCUAGAGUACNGUAGANGGUGGUGGAAUUUCCUGUGUAGCCGGUGAAAUGCCGUAGAUAUAGGAAGGAACACCAAUGGCGAA
rnacentral:rRNA from 1 species